GGGGAGCGUGACGCAGGGAGGAGGGAAGGGACAAAAGGAGCCGGGAGGCGGCGGGGCCGGCGGCGCUCCCACUUCUCCGUCCCUCCUCCUCCCUCGGCCGGGGCCCGUUUCUCUCUCUUCGCUCCGUUUUCCCUCGUUCCUCCACCUCUGCUCCCUGUCCUUCUCUCUGCCUGCCUCCUUGCCCUGUGCAUUCUCUCCUCUCUCCUCUUCCUCCUUACACCUCCGCCCCAUCGGGGUCUGCUCCUCUCCUCUCUCUCUCCCAGCCUCCUUCCCCUCCCUCCGCUUGGGUCUCUCCACCCACCCAACCACCCAUUGGGGCCUCAGAGGUGAAUCAGACCCGUAUCUGCCCUUGCAGACGCGGAGCUCACGGUCUGAUGGAGGAGACAGACGCAGCGCAGACAGUUUCAAUCCAGGGUGAUCGGGGUACGACAGAGGGGAGACCAGCGGCUGUUCGAUCCCAGGGGCAGAAGGAAUCCUUUUAGCUGGAGACAUCUGAAAGGACCUCCAGAGAAGGCAGUGGUUGUGGCCUGACCUCCAAGAACUGGGAGAAGUUAAAUCUGAAUUGUCGAGAUAGAGGCAGGCAGCAGUAAGGGCGGUCCAGGCAGAGGGCACGGCUUAAGCAGAGGCCCAAAGGCAGGAAACCAGGGGCGAUUCCGGGAGAACAGCACAGCAGUCAAGUCCGACGGGAGCCUUAGAGGACAGGAGCCAAGGAGCAUAGAAGAUGAGGCUGAGGUGGUGGGCGGGGCCAGGUUCGCAAGCGCUCUGAAGGCCAGACUGGGGACUUUCUCCUGCGGGUGAUGGGGAGCCACAGAGGGUUGUGAGCAAGGGGGAGGGGCAGGGUCUGAUCUGGGAGUCAGAAGGCCCUCUCUGGGGCCCUGUGGGGGACGGAUAAAGGACGAAAGAGUGGUGGAGGCUGGGAGAGUGGGGAGGAGGAUGCGUGAGCUGGGGCUGGGACCCUGCAGGCAGAGAGGAGAGGAUGGGGCAGAGAAUGUGAGGAGGCAGGAGGGACUGGGGACUGACAGCCUGUGGGGGGUGACAGGGAGGGAAGAAGUGAAAAAGAUACAACAACCGGGAGUCCGUCUGGCCCAGGAAAUGAGGGGACAAGAGUUGUUCCCAGGGGGGAACCGGGAGGAAGAAGGAAGAUGCUGUGCACAGCUUGGAACUUAGUGGACAUUAGGGGCCUGGGGGCAUUUCGAGAAGACACUCAGGCAAUGGUGGAUAUAGGUUCUGGGGCUCUAACAAUGACAAAUGCAUUUCCCUCCCACCCUGUCCCCUGGCCACCCAGUUCUUUCUGGGGACGUCUUAUGCUUACCAAUUUCUUGUGUGUCUUUCCAGUAGAAUUCUAUACCUAUGCACAUGUGUUAUACCAUUCUCCUUCUAUUUCUGUCCCCAAAUGGGAUCACAUUAUUCUACACUUUGCUUUUUUAACACUAUAUCCUGAAGAUUCCCCUAUAUCCAUGCGUAUAGAACUACCACAUUCAUUUUAGUGGCUGCAUAGUAUUUCAUUGUAUACAUUUAUUUAUCCAUACUUAUUCAAUCAAUUGGGAGCUUUUUUUUACAUAAAGAAACUAAUGCUUAUGCAUAUGCAGAUUACUGAGGAUUUUUGUUUUUUACUGAUUUCUUCCAAUGCUCUUAAGCCUCUGGACCCAAGUUUUGACAAAUACUUACUUCUAGGUCUUUUAAAAUUUAUUAGUAUUUACUAAUGAUAGGAAUAAUAAUAAUCAAUACACAUACCGUUUAUUGAAUGUCUACUUGGGGACAGGCCCUAGGUUGGGUAUUGGUUAUACAUUAUAUCAUUCAAUCAUCACAACAAUCUUAUUUUUAGGGGCUGUUAUUAUCUCCAUCUAAGGAUGGGGCAACUGAGGUUCUGCAUAGUGAGUUGCCCAAGCUUACAAAGCGAGUAGCAGAGCCAGGAUUCGAACUCAGGCCUCUGUGGCUCCACAUUCCAUGCCCUUUCUUUGGAGGUGGGCUGCCUCCAUGAAAAUGUGGAACUACUUGAAAUUGACAUUGGGCACAUGGGAGACUUGCCAUGCACACAAAUCUGCACCUUGACUUGGUAUCUAGAAUCACCCUGCGUUCACCCCAGAUGCCCCAUAGUGAGGUCAGGACGGUAACCACACCAUUCUGCUGUCUCUGUCCUGGGCUUGAUGCCGCUGUGUUGUGAUUCUGGGUGUCGGUCUGUCUGGGAAUUCUAUGAGGGCACGCUGUCCGGCUGAGUCAUCUCUUUCCUCAGUAUCGCUCAGCUUAGGGUGUGGCUCAAAGCAGAGGCUCAGGAAAAUGUUUGCUAAAUGAAUGAACGGAGGGAUAGAUGAAUAACAAAUGGGUUGUGGGUUAGGCUGGGACUUGCUGAAGCCUCUGGGAUAAGAGAACAUAAUUCCCGUUAGUUCCUGAAACAUAAGGGUUACAUUCCUAUUGGUUAGUGAGUCACUGGGGCCACUGUUUCCAUCAUUCUCUGGUAUCCAGGGUUCACAAAUCCCUCGGCACCUAAGACUCAGCUACUGCAGUUCCCACAAAUCCCUGAGACUCUGGAUCCACCAUUCCCAGCAGCCCCCGUGGCUCAAGAUCCGCUAUUCCCAUCAGCCCCUGAGACUCAGGAUCCGCCAUUCCUGUCAGCCCUGGAGACACAAGGGCCACCAUUCCCAUCAGACACUGGCACACAAGUACUGCUUGCAAUUCCCAUACCCCUAAGAUACAGGGACCACCAUUUCUAUCCAUGCCUGAGACACAAGUUCCACCAUUCUUAUACCCUGGAACAACAUGUCAAUGGAAAACAGAAGCAUUCUGCCCUUUACCAGGCCGUCCCCAAGUUCCUGGGACUGUUAACCAGGAAGACACUUCUGCCUGCCCUUGGGUAGGUCUGAGUCACCUGUCAAUGCUGUAGACAAGGAGGCACCAGCUCAUGAAGAACAUCAAAGCAGAGAAUCUUCCACGUGAGGGAUCAGCCUGAAACCCGAGAUAAUCCUACAGCACCACCAGAGAAUCCUUCCAGGAACAGAAUUGUACUGUAUGCAGCAAGGCAGUGAAGAGCACAGACUCUGAAGCCAGAUUGCCCGGGUUUGAAUCCUGGCUCAGCUAUUCCACCAGCUGUGUCUCUUUAUGCCUCAGUUUUGUCAUCCCUGAAAUGGGAGAGAGAGAUUUGAAGAUACAGAGGAGACCCACAGGGAGGAAGGCCAUGUGACAACGGAGGCAGAGACUGGAGUGAUGCGUCUCCAAGCCGAGGACUGCUGGACCAUCAGAAGCUAGAAGAGGGGAGGAAGGAGCCUUCAGAAGGAGCUGAUACCUUCAUUUCUGACUUCUGGCCUCCACAACUGGGAGAGAAUCGAUUUCUGUUGUUUCAAGCCACCCAGUUUAUGAUAAUUUGUUAUGGAAGUCCUAGGAAAGCAAUACAGGAUCUAUGUUAACCUA